rnacentral:rRNA from 1 species
ACGGGAGGCAGCAGUGGGGAAUAUUGCACAAUGGGGGAAACCCUGAUGCAGCGACGCCGCGUGGAGGAAGAAGGUAUUCGGAUUGUAAACUCCUGUUGUUGAGGAAGAUAAUGACGGUACUCAACAAGGAGGUGACGGCUAACUACGUGCCAGCAGCCGCGGUAA